ensembl:processed_transcript
AUGGCUUCUCGCGGUGUUUUGGAUUAAACACUCGUAACAAGUUUGACCAAAAUGUUCAGCCAUACAAGUCAACAUUCAGAGCUUCACAAAACUAUUUUGCGCGGAGACGAGCAGCCAACUCUCCAGAGAUGUGAUGACUGCUGUUCCUUGUACCACUGUCCUUUCUGUGGGCCUGAGAUGUUCAAACCCACCAUCAA